rnacentral:rRNA from 1 species
UACGUAGGGUGCAAGCGUUAUUCGGAAUUACUGGGCGUAAAGUGUGCGCAGGUGGCCGCGCAUGUCGAGUGUGAAAUCCCCGGGCUUAACCUGGGAACUGCAUUUGUGACUGCAUGGCUGGAGUGCGGCAGAGGGGGAUGGAAUUCCGCGUGUAGCAGUGAAAUGCGUAGAUAUGCGGAGGAACACCGAUGGCGAAGGCAAUCCCCUGGGCCUGCACUGACGCUCAUGCACGAAAGCGUGGGGAGCAAACAGG